GUGGGCUUAUGUGCCUCUUCGGCCUGCGGCGUAACAGCCUCGCCAAUUAUAAACUAUAAGAAUGCGCGUGCGCAAGCAUGUGCGGUCAUACUUUUUUUUUAUUUUUUAAUGGCUUUCGCCGCUCUGAGUGAUGAAAUUACAGCGGAGGGAAAUUUGUAAUUGUCUUGUACGCCUCGCUCCGAUCCCCGGCGUGUUUCAGCAGGUGGAGGUGGACGUGGAGGUGCGUGGGUGCGUGUCGGGGACGUUAUUUUUAAACGGGCAGUUGCGGGUCGACUAAAUUUAGAUUGGCAGCCAACUGCUGACUUUUCCUACAGCAUCAGCGCUUUGUUUGCUCACCGCAGACACGCCGAGGUAAAACGAGAAGGCCCGGAAGUGAGGUCCAGGUAUUUCUCUUCCUUUGUGGAGGAACCGUGCCCUGUCGCUGCCGUGGUAACAUCAUCUCUGUGCAAUCAGACACUCUACGGAGGCAAGACUGCUAAUGUGUGCGCAGAAGUAACCGGAGAAGCCCACGUUCUACAACACUGACUCCAGGAGCAACAGUGGAGCUUUGUCUCAAAUGCCAAUUUACUAGGUGGGAGAACCACAGAUAUGUUGUCUGAUCCAAGUUUUCCUAAUGUAAACCUUCGAUGCCCCUGUCAUACUACUGCUUAUUGGGUUCCUGUUUCUAUGGAAAAUGACACAUUUGACCACUUAGAGCCAGUUAAUCAUUUUUUGCUGUAGAUGUUUUUUGGACAUGGAUUCUCUGAUGUGGGCGUUGCAACUCAUCUCCAGGACACUCUGCAACUUUAAAAAUCCCACAAGACUUGACUCCUCUCCUCCAGCGGGCAGAAGUGGCUAACUUGUGGCUUUUCUCUCUCUUAUGACAUGUUGCCCGGUCUGUCAAGGUUCUCAUUUUCACUCAAGCUUUCAUCGUAUUACAUUUUGAACAUUAUUUUAUUUUAGAGAUGAUCAACUUCUGCUUCUGUUCUCCUUCUUCCCAGCAAAUAUGCCAGGAGGCUCUCAAGGUUUCUCUCCAGUGUGUUAUAAGCCUGGCAGGCUGCCAGGCUUUACUUCUGGAGGUAAAGCUGCAGCACAUGGAGGACAAGAUAGACUCGGUCAAAAAUCAGGAAAUGUUUGUCGAAACACCUUCUUGCUGCAAGGCAACAGUGUUACCAACUGUGCAGCCCUGAACCUACAGUCAUCAGCUAUUAAUGUACUGUAAUUAGCAUUAACCAUAUUCUUUAGUGAGUCAUUUCCAGCUCACAACCUUUCAAAUUCAGCCCUAAAUAUUAUUCAGUAGAGGUGGAAUUACAGCAAACAGCUUAAAAUGAAAAGUUUUUUGUUGUUUCCGAAGCCGGCAACAACGUCAGCAACACAAAAGCUGGAUCCAUCUGAAGAAAAGCUGGCAGUUUGCUCAUUUUAAAAGCAGCAACUCGUCCUCGGGCCUGCAAAUGUCUGAGUCCAUAACGAAAACAACAGCUGCACUUAACGGCGGCAGCGUCAUCCUUCUCCAGGUGUCCCAGCUGCGCGCUGACGUCAUCAGGAGCACGUUCCGCACUCUGUCCAGCCUGACUGGCGGCGCUGACGUGAAAACGUCUAGAAGCGUCCAGAGUGCCGCUGGAGAGCCGGCGCUUCCUUUUUUUUCCCCAUCUCUUUCUCGUCCAAUUUGUAUCCAAUAAUCUGCUCCGGCAUCGCUAUGGAAACUGAGAGGCCGCAAUCAAGCAAGCGGCCGUAAAAGCGGUGCCUGAGCAAAAAUAAAGGGAUACUAAUAAUGGAAGGUAAAAGGAGGGGCGCGAAAACAGUGUUAACUCUGGAGGAGAGAUGAGGAGAACGAAAUGCAAGUGAUUAUUGUUUUUUUCUUCUUUUAUUUUUGGCAUUGUUCGAAAUGAAAGAUUGGAACAAUUAAGUAUUGAAUUUAAGUGCAAUUUGGGAUCCUCGACAAUUUGAGAGUUAUUAUUUCUGAGACAAUAAAUGUGAAGCAAUCAGUCAUCCCUAAUAAGGUUUGAUUGGGAGCACUUCAGAGAAUAAAGGCUAAAUCAGCUUAAAUGUCUUUUCAUUGGCCGGGAUCAUUCCAGCCGGCCUGGUGUUGCUUUGUGUCGGGCUUUUACAGCCUCCUCAGAGCUAACACACCUUUCAAACACCAUCUUGCACCUCUUAAGAAGAAUUACUCCUACUGUGACAUAAUGAGACCUGAGGAGGAGGAAUGUAUUUUUUGACCCAACCUCCUCUCCUUCUCCCCCAAAUUUCAGUUUCUGAGCUUUUUGUGCAUGUUUUAUUUUAGUUAAUUUCUUUUUUUAUGCAAUGAGAAAGAGCAAUGGCCACACCCAAACUGGCAACGAAGGGUUCCAGCAUCCCGGGAUGCCAGAUCGCCAUAACUUCACCCUCUCAGACGAACGGGCAGGGCGAUCAAAUCUGGAGCGACACCUCCCUCACCCACGGUGAGCAGAUCGGUGCCGCAGCGGGACAGACUGAUGUCCAAUGCACCCCAGAGGGGUGUGUGUGUGUGUGUGUGUGUGUGUGUGUGUGUGUGUGUGUGUGUGUGUGUGUGUGUGUGUGCGCGCGCAGUAGAGACAGACUGGCAGCUUUCUGCACCCAGCUGAGAAGCAAGGAAGGAGAAAGAGACUGGGGCCUCACAUGUGGGUGGAGGAGAUUGUGUGCGCUUUCAUAUCCAUGGGCGGACGUGAGUAAUCCCAGCAUGCAAACAUGCACGUGUGUGUGUUUGUGUGUGUGUGUGCGUGUGUGUGUGUGUGGACGCUAAAGCGCUAAUGUGACCAUUUUUAGGAGGAGCGUGAGUCAUUAAUCUGAAUUGUGUGAGGGAAAUGAUGCCGCCGGCUUUCGCUCGGGUUCAGGUCCGAUAAGACGCGUGUUGAGAAAAUGACCAGAUUCCCACAGUCCAGUGAAGAGCUGAAGAAUCAACUUUUAGCAAAUCCACGUGAACAAAUCAUAUAUUUUACUCAUCUUAAUGUGGCAUUGGAUUAAUAUUAUGUGUAGACACACAUCUAACCUUUAAUAAAACGCAGCAUCCUAGAAUUUACAUUGAAUAGAUUUUUUUUUUAAAUUGCACGUGUAGAUGCUGACAGGUUCACAUAACAUGCUCUGUUAUAAGUGACUUGACCCGUGAGCGAUAUUAGUUAACGUAACUACAUGUCCGCAGAAUGAUUGAUUUUCUUCACAGACAGUUAAUAUUUGGUCUCUUCCCGCUUUUAUGGCUGACUGAGCCGUCGUCGGAGCAGAAUCUGAGCAUGUGAGAUGUAGAAGAUCAACAGAAGGAUGUCAGUGACAUGAACGCACCGACGGGACAGCGCGGCGUUGAACAUGGAUUUCUGUUGUUUCAGCUACUGCGUUGCCUCGAAUUGAUUCAUCGCUGCCUGGGACUCUGGAUGUCUGUGGCUGAUAAAAAGGUCAUUUUCUGUACAGAUGGCAUUGGUGCUCAGAAAGAUGACGAGAACCAGCAGGGCUAUGAAAUCACACACCCGGUGAAAUAUGUGCAAGGUUAUGAUCUGCCAAAACGACGACUGAAUUACUGUUGUUGCACAACAUGCCACAAAAGGGUGAUGCAUGAAUUAUUUGGCAACAUGUGUGUUUGUGAAAAUGUAAAUGUCAACAUGUGUUUAGCAAAACUCGUAAAAUAACAUGUUAUUUGAAUAUAAAUUUCUGAAGUCUGUAUUAUCCCCUUUUUUAUGGUGCAGGAUCAAGUGCCUCCGCAAAGUUGCAGCUGUUAAUAUUUUGCUGAACGUGGUUCUUGGUAUAGCGCCCCAACAGGAGAAGAGGAGAAUCGAUUUUACAAAGGGUUUGGUUUGACACGGUGCAGUUUGAAAGUGAACCGCUCCAGCUGAAAAUGUAGCGAAUGUUUUAAUUUUGAUCCCCAGUCAAGCCGAGUCUACGGGACUGUCAGGUGUGAAAACACUCUGGAAGAUUUUACACAACAUAUUGCUGCUAUCACUGCUCUACAUUUGUGAAGGUUGAGUAAAAAGAAGAGGAGGAGGAGGAGGGUUCAUGAUCCAUCUCCUGACAUCCUGACGUCAAAUCAAUACUCAGUGAACCAGAGCAAAGCCCUCCUAUCAUUCUGAACCUCCUUUUUCUUUCCUUACACCUGACUUAGUAUUAUGAUCAGUCUUGCUUCUUAAUCUUCUCUCUUUAUCCUCGUUUGCUUUGACCUUCCGUGCACCGUUUUGUUCCUGAGAACGGGCCGAUAUCCGUCAUUUUCUGACGGUUUUUGAUGGGACACACUCACGUUAGUAAUCGGACAGCAGAUCUGAUUCUGGUUUUAUGUUGUUUUCUUUUUAAACGCAAACCUUCAAACGUAAUGUUUAGUAGAUUUGCAACCACUGGUUUCUGUAUGGACUUGUAUAUAUUAAAAAUUAUGUCUCAAAAACACUUUUAAUUACCAGUAAAUUCACUUUGGAAAAAAAAGAAAAAAGUAGUCAGUUAUAUUCAUUUCAAAGCAUUUGUCCUUUGUUUCCUCAGUGGCAUGAAGUUAAUUUAAUAAA